UAUGAUGAUGAUGCCAGAGUUCACGAACCAACCUUUGCAGAGGGGAAUAAAACAAAAGUAAAACAAAAGGUAUCAAGUUAGUAUGGAUUAUAUGGAAAGAUGUUGCAAUAUUCAAACACAUAGUGCAUGGAAUAUACGUGUCCUAAUCUUGGGGGACCUCAUUGUGCUCGAGGUAGGCCUAGCAACAAAUAAAUUUGGAGAACUUAGAAUGCUAAAUGCCUUAUUUUAUUGAUAAGAAAAUAAGAUGAAUCCCAAAAUGACACUAAAUAACAUGAAAUAAAAUGUCACUAAUGGUUGUAGGCCUUAUUAAAUUUUCAAAGGAAAAGAAGACUCCUAUCUAUUUGGUCCGAGAAGGACUUUCCCCAGAUUUGGCAGUGUUGGCUCCUUCGUAUAGCUCUCCCACCUCGCGCAAUCCUAGUAGUAAGUAGGCCCUGGCCAUAUAUGCGCCUUCAUUUCCUUCAACAAUUCUGAAAUCUUCGACCCUCUUCAGAAACUUCUUUUCCAGCUCCAAACAAAUCAUUCGUUUGUUGGCAUUGAUAACCAUAUCCUUCCAUUCUCCAAUUAGCUUUUGAUUGGCUUCUUGUAUUUUAUGGUACUCAAUUUCGCAUUCCCGCAUCCUCUUGCACGGUUGGUUGUAUUUUACUUGUGCUUCUGCCUUUUCAUCAAUGAAUCGGUGACCUUGAAGAAACCCCGGUUGUCUUGACCUAUCAUGAUCGUCUUCCAACCAGCUUGGAUAUAAUGGAGUAUAACCAGCAUUGUACCUAUCUGGUCCAAUAGUAUCUCUUCCCAUGGCGAUUUGCAGUGUCACAUGUGUUGGGCUUAGCACUUGUAAGGCUAUCGUCAUCCUGAAAGUUGGCCCUGAAGUGACUCAUUUUGUCAACCCUUGGUAUAACCUGCUUUCUUCCGGCCUGCCUCAUGACUCGGAGAGAGACAUAAGGAUAAGUUUCUAUCGGACCAAUGAGUAUAAGAAAUGGUGCAUCCCGAGAUCAGACAAUGAACUCUUCAGUAGGGAACCAUUUGAACAUCCAUUGCACUUGGUCCUCUUUCAGAUUUUCGAACAACUCUAACCACCCUUUAGCAUCUUCUAGUUGGGCAAACAUGUUAGGCAUAUAGUUCAUUCGCCUUGGCUGAUAGAAGGCGAUAUGAUUAUCCUAGUCCCUGCGCAGGAUCUCUUAUUAAUAUUCACCCUUUUGGAGAUGCUCAUGAGCCAGAGUUGGAGCAGUAAGUUACAACCCUCAAAGUGUUUGGCCCCUUGUUGAUAGUUCUCCACGACUCGGUAUAUCUCCGCAAUAAUCAUGGGUACUAUACUAAAAGGCCGCCCACCAAUUCCUUCCAUUAAGGUUUUGGUGACCAUGGCUAGUCUAGUAUGGAUCCUAGCCUUCUUUAUAGGAAAUACUAUCAUCCCCAAAAAGCAGAACAUAAAGAUGAAGACCCUUCUGUGAAUAUUCCCCAAUGAUGUGAGGGCGAAUUUAUCCGGGUAAGUGCGGUAGGACUUGCUAUGGCCGUACCUCUCGUACAGAUAGUCGAAAGGAAUGUAGGAAUCCUUCAAGCAGGUCAAGUUUGUAUUCUUCUUUAGCCCCAUCAUUUUGUGAAAACCCAUACCCCUACAAUUUUCUGGCAUAAGCAAACCCGGAGUCUCCCAUGGGAUACCAGCUAGCCCUCCUGUUUCCUUUAGCAAAGGUGUCAUUUCAAGGUCCCUGAAGCGGAACACGGAUCUAUCACCAUCCCAGAAUAGGUUUGCAGCCUCUACAAUUUUGUUGUUGGGUUGGAAUUCCAGAAUAGAAAGGACGAGAGUCUGAUCGCUAGAUUGAAGGUUCUCCCAUCAGCUUAGAAACCUUGGGUGGAUGUUGGUUACCAUGCCGAAUCAGGGGACUACAUGCCUCAUUUUCUGCUAAACAAAGUGCUAGGCCCUUACUCCCGCCAAACUCGACUAUUCAAAUAUUAAUAACUGGCAUAAGAAACAUUUAGUUCUCCAAAUAAAUGGACAAACGAGGAAGCACCCGUUUGGGUUCCAGGGAAAUCCAGUGGACUUUGGACAAGGCUAUCUUAAAGAGUCAUUAUGUGGACAUCAUAACUGACUAUGCUAGGUUUGACCAUAAUGCAGGCACUAUUUAACGGAGUAAGGUUUCUAUGGAGUGCUAGACCGGUACCCUUGAGCGGAUAACUCAAGAGGGAAAGACACAAAACCGUUGACUACACCGUUGAUCGACUGGUUUUACCGCAAAUAUGCCUUUGCCAAAUUUAGGGGGGUGAAAAUAUUGAAAGGGCGCAGCCACUCAUUAUAAGCGUUGCUGUGGUAUUUUGUUUGGUACAAGUGGAAUAUGAUGUUGAAUACAAGAAUGAAACAAGUUGUCAUGUUCAAAAAGUAAUGAUUACAAUAAUUGCUCAUAAUUACAACAAUAUUGAAGGAAAGCGGUAAAGGAACGCAUUAAAGAAAAGAAACAAAGAGAAAAGUUAGUUUUGCAUUAGAAGGGAGAUAAAGAUAUUAAAUAAAGGCAAAUAAGAAGCAGUAAAGUCAAAAGUAACAUGAAAUGAUAAAUGCCUAAAGGAAAUCCCCAGCAGAGUCACCAUGUUGUCGACGCCCCCUUUUUCUCAGGCGAAAUUGGGUUCAUGACAUUUGGACAAAUAACUCUUUUACUUUUGGGAAUUGGGUUUGCAAUUUUAGAAGAGUCGCCACCUUAUGAUUAAGUGCAUUAGGACACUAAGAAGAAAUUCAACUUAAAAGAAGAAGAACCAGAGAAUGGGUAAGGGCUUGAGAAUAUCUCGAGGGGAAGGUGUUAGGCCCCCAUCGAGAUCCACUAGUGUAGUUCUCGACCAAAUUAUCUCGAGAGGAAUAUCUUAGUCCCCCCUCGAGAUCCACUAGUGUGGUUCCCUCCAUGCUACAAUUGUGACUUUAAAUAUAAGCAAAUAGGCAAACAAGACAGGUUUCACAUAAUGAUUGCAACAAAGGAAACAUUCAAGUUAAAGGCAUACCAGAAUUUGGAAGUAGGCGUUCUCAUAACUUAUUUAAAGGAUAUACAAGUGCAGGAACAUGAGGGGUCAAAUAAGUGAUGUAAAUAAUCAGAAAAAGGAGUAAGAUGGAAGUUUGGGGAAGAAACCAUACUGGAAAAAGUAAAAAAAAGAGAUUUUAAGUGACUGGAGUAAAAUAGGAAGUAUAAAGAACGGAUAGUCAAUAGCUAAAAGAAUUUCUGGAAAAGGAAGUAAAUGAAUGAGGAGGAAGGGGGUCCUAGGUUUACAGAUAACAUGGAUCACCCACACAACACCUGGUAACUAUUUAUACACGUGGUGGUUAUCGCGUGAUCAUCAUAUCCAUGUUACCCUUUACCUACCCCGUUAAGGUAUUAAAUCAUAGAUUGGCCUCGUUAAUUAUUGCAUGCUAUUACCCGACCCAAUCUUAUCAGUCCCGGAGGAAACUGGGACUACUAUCCCUAAAAGGGGAAGGAGAUUGGCUUUUUAAAAAUUUUAAAAGGACAAAAAUCUAGUGCGACAAACAAAACACAUACAACAGUAAAAGGGAAACACAUAGCAAAUAAAGGCUCAGAUAGGCCUCCUUAUUUAAAGUAGCAAGUUGUUUAGCAUGGCUUACAAGUAUUGAUUAGGUCUUUAAUUAAACUUAAGCAUGGAAGCAGGUUGGUUUAUCACAUAUUUCUCAGAUAAGAAGUCCGAAUUAGGCAUGCCCCUGGUUGUAAUUAUCAUAGACUGAUGCCAUUAAUUAAUUACCUAAUGGCUUGCCUAGAUGAGACCCAUAGACCUGAUAUCCAACAACGUGGAAAUGUACUGGUUUUAAAAAUGGGGUUUGCUAAUAAUAAAACAUAAAACUUGCGGAUGCAAGAUGGCAUUAUUACUGAUUUUUAGGCUUGAUUCGGAUUCAGCUAAGGGGAUUUACUGAUUACAAAACAUAAGACUUGCGGAUGCAAGACGGCAUUGUUACUGAUUUUUAGGUUUGAUUCAGAUUCAGUUGAUUAUCUUUAUAGACAUACUUUCUAGGCGUGAUUGAUUUUGAAACGUUUAUAGAAGUGCGAGAAUCCUAUAGGUAUGAUGUCUAUUAUGUAGAUUUUUUUAAAAAACCUAUAAGUCGUUUGCCUAAUGAGGGAUGUAAAUGCAGAAUUGAAAAAGUCCUAUAGGCAAAUUAUCUACAUGAUGCAAGGAUGCAGAAGCAUAUAGCCAUGGUUAUAUGCAGAAGUAAAACAACUUAUAGGCGGUGUUUCUAAAUGAAAUGCAUAACUUAUAAACAAUAUUUCUAAUGCAGUAAUGAAACAACUUAUGUGCAGUACUUCUAAAUGAAAUGCAUAACUUAUAGGCAAGAUUUCUAGUGCAGUAAUGAAACAACUUAUAGGCAUGAUUUCUAAAUGAAAUGCAUAGCUCAUAGGCAGAAUGAGAUUUGCAGGAAUAAAUGCCAAAGGACAUGAUGUCUACCCACAUGCAUAUCUAAGUGGCUCUUCCCCUUUUCACUAUAUACACCACGAGUUAUUACAAUUUACUACAGAUCAAAGAUUAAAAUAUUACAUCAGAAAUAAAACUACAACCAAGGAGCCUAAUUCAGACUCAAGGUCUAAAAUAUGAGAUGGACCAACUCCGAAGAUCAAGAUUUUCCAAAGCCUUUCUCUUAUUUGGGGUGUAUCAAAGUUCUCAAGAGCCUCAAGGGGGACUCCCGGCAGUGCUUACAACCCGAAUACAUUGCAGAAUCAUGUUAUAGUGCAGUGUGGAAGGUCUAGCCCUCAAAUAUCAAAGUUCAGAGGGAACUCAAGGUACCAAGGCAAGGCUCAUAGGAGCGAGGCAGAAAAUAGAGUCUAAGAAUAAGUGUCAGUGAAUAGAGGGAGUUUGGCAAGGCCAUGGCAGACUAGUGGUCAUGCCCAACAAGUAGGCAUGCUGGCACACCCCUGACUGGCCUAUUGGCUAAGUUUGGGAGCUAGGACCCAUUGACGGUUAGUUUUAGACUUGAGCAGUAAUUUGGAUACUACCAGGCCUUGAACAUAAGUCAAACACAUAGAGUGGAAUAGGGGUGUAGGAAUUCAUCAUAGAAAUAGGUACAAAGAGAAUAUCAUACAGGUUAAUUACUGAGCAUGAAUGGAAAGGAAAACAAGAUUGCAAAAACUGUAAAUAAACAUAUUAGGAUGAUCGUUGAAGCUAAAUCAGAACAUACCAAUUGCAGGGUAAACAAAUGGCAGAAGUCUUGUAGACCCAAAUUGCAAGCAAGCAGUAUAAGAGAUCUCAAAUGAGAAUAGAGAAUUGAAGAGUAGUGUGUAUAAGAAUAUGUGUAUUGAAUUGAAAGUUCCAAGUUGUUCUAAGUGCAGAAGGAUCGUGCCCCUUUUAUAGUGCAAAGGACAAGUAAGAAAAGUAAGAAAAUAACUUGUAAUCAAUCAUAUAAAGUCUCCCUUUAGUUAAGGGAUUCUAAUAUCAAACGGGUAGAAGACAUUUAAGGAAAGAAAACAACAACAACAACCCAGUAUAAUCCCACUUAGUAGGGUCUGGGGAGGAUAGUGUGUACGCAGACCUUACCCUUAUCCUUGGGUAGAGUGGCUGUUUCCAAAUAGACCUCCAGCAUCAUUCCCUCCAAGAACUUCCCACCUUGCUCUUGGGGAGACUCGAACUCACAACCUAUCGGUUGGNNNNNNNUAGACCCCCGACAUCCUUCCCUCCAAGAACUUCCCGCCUUGCUCUUGGGGAGACUCGAACUCACAACCUCUCGCUUGGAAGUGGGGGUUGCUUACCAUCAUAGCAACCCCUCUUGUCUUAAGACAUUUAAGGAAAGAGUUUGAUUAAAAUCUUUUCCCAAGUAACACAGGAAGGGUAAAUACAUAGGGAUUAAUUAAGGCAACAUACGAUGGUACACGGUUGGUAAAAAGAAAAAGGAAAGGGGAUCUAUCAAACGACUAGUAAAAUCAAAAUUAUAGGCUUAACUCGAAUGGACCAAGUCGGGAAUAUGUAAAGAAAAUUCAAUUAGAUAAAAUCAGUAGCAAUCAAUCAAACCCCCAUUAGAGGAUUUCAGAAUCAAUUGAUUAGUUAGUAAAACCUUUUGAAAGAGGAGUUCUCAUAUAUAAAGGACACAAAUAGGUGAAUCAGGAAGAAACUGCCAUGCUAAUUAGAAAACACAGGUAUGAGAUAAAGGAAAGAAGAAAAUUCAGAGUCACAACAAAGAGACUCACAAUCAGUUCAUAGAUUCAGAAUGAGUCUGAUAGUCCAAAGUAAAUUCCAAACAUGAAAUCAAACUUGCCAAAAGAAAACCCCAAAUCCUAGGGUUUCCACUUGAAUCAGAUAAAGAUACAAGAAGGCAAGACACUGAUACUGCCUCAGAAAUCUCUUUUGGAGACUUAUGAAAAACAUAUAAACAUGGUAGACACUUUGAAAUAACAGAGUGAAAAAGUCAUUUUAGCUGAUAAAAGCUCUGAAGUCUCUUUUAGAGACUUAUGAGGAACAAACAGACAUGAUAGUGCCUUUUAAACAAUACAGUUAAAAAGUCAUUUUAAGAGCAUAAAGAACAAGUUUAAGAAAAGCUCGAGACUUAAAAAAAAUUCAGAAAGGAGGAGAGAUAAUACAAACUUAAGAUAAAACAUGCUUGGCAAGAACUCGAACAAAAUCCAGUAAAACAAACAAGAUUAAAGAACUCCACAGGAGACACAUACAAUAGAAUAAUACCGGAAAGCAUAGCAAGGGACAUGUAGGAAAAUAUAGCAGAGAUUAGCAUGUGAGCCUAGUCUAGAGGCAUAGUAGAAUACCAAACACAGGGGUAUCACGUAUAGUAGAUAAAGAAGAACAGAAGAACAACACAUGUGGUAAAAAGAAAACACCUGAGCAUAAUAUAGGCAAACAUACAUAAAUAAAAGGGAAGGAAGAAGCAAAAGAUGUUUUGAAAACCUUUCAGAAACCCUAAUUCAAAGACAACAAUUUUAAAAGGAAAUUUUGGGGAAAACACUUUAAAAGUCAUGUAAAGCGCAAAUACAUCACAGAUUUAAGAAAAUAAACAGAGAAAAAGAACCUCGAACGGCUUAGGGUUUCAGAGAAAUCCUAAAAACUGAGAAUGGCUUGAUAAAGUCAGAUCUUAGGGUCGGAUGAGUGAGAAUCAGGAUCCUGAGGCUUGAAUAUGCCGGAGCAAAGGCCGGAGAGGUCAUAAAACCAUAGAUCUAAGAAGACCCGAAGAACACCAUCGAGGUCAGGCUUCAAAACCUCAAACAACCAAGGUCUAAUGGCAAAGGGAAGUGUGUACAGGCCAUCCAUGGCCUGAGAAACCAUGGAUUCCGGUGAAAGGCGGUUGAAAUGAGGUGGAAGAAGGCUAGGGUCUCGAAGAGCCUUGAUAGAGUUUUGAGAGAUGAAGGGAUUUCAAAGACGGCUCAGAGAUGGAAAUGAGAGAUUUAGGGUAGUCAUUAGGGGUUUAAUUAUGGUAGGGUUAUUAAUGACCGUUGAUCUGAAUGAUCAACAUUAUUUUAGAGGGUAGGUGGGGAUCGUGUUGGGUCAUUUGAAUUGGGUUAUAGGUUGGGCCAAAAUUUGAAAUUGGGAUGAUCUAAUUAGGGGUUAAGAUUGAGCCAAUUUAAGGGCUAAAAUUGAAAUAAAAAUAGGUUGUAUUUGCAAUGAAACAUGGCUAAUUUUUAAAUAGCCAGUUUUCCCUUUUAUUUUAUAAAAAAUAGUAAAAAUAGUCUAAAAAUCAAAUUAAAAGUACUAAGCCAGGUAAUAUUAUAUAAAUAUUAAAUUAAAAAAACUGGAACCAAUUUUACAAUUAUAAAAUGCUAUUAAUCUUAAAAUGGGCUAAAAUUGCAAAUAUAUGCAAUUUAGCUUUAAAAAUGCCAAAUAAAUUUUUAAGCUUAUCAAAAAAAAUUACCCUAACUAUAUUUUGGUAUGAAUAUGGGAAUAAAGUAAAUUAUUCACUAAAAUUGAUGAUUUCGGGAAUAAUUAUGGAUUUUGUACUGCUAAAAUAGACAAUAAAUUGAUUUUAAAAACUUUAAAAAAUUAGAAAAAUACUAAAAUACCUGGGUAUGAUAUAUAUAAUACAUAUAUAUAAUACAUAGGAAAACAUUGGGUAUUAACACCUAACACUUGCAUAUUUCUCAAUGAUUGCUCCAAACUUUUUGCCUUCCAAAAUAUCUCCUCUUGCUCCAAGUUCUCGGGUGGUUUCUCAGUUUCAACAUGAGGCUCAAAGUGGGGAGUGUAGGAGUAAGGAUCUGGGACUUUGAAGGUGGGUUCUGGGGCAUAGUAUUGGGUAUAUGGGGCUGGGAUUGCAGUUUUUUUAGCUGGUGGAACAUGGAAAGUUUGGGAGGAAAUUCCAGGGUAAUUUUGGUUAAGGGCAAAGCCCAGUGCAUGUUGAGGGGAAAGGUUAGCGGUAGUGGGAACCUGGGCUUGUGAUAAUGGUGGGAUAGUUGCAUGGUUUUUAGUGUAGUUAGUGGGGAGUGAAGGUGGAGGAUGCUCCCUGACCCAAGAUUGAUGCAUUUCUUCCAUAUGUUGUUUCAACCAUUGCACCUCCUCUUUCAAUUCAGAUUCUGACUUCUCAAUCUCCCUCGACGGGUCAACAACUCUUGUGUCCAAGUCUUUUCUAGCUAUGGGUACCUUACUCUUUGACAUUGUGUUGUACAGAUGUCUCGCCGAAGUGCCACAAACUAACUACCCUCUGUUAUGAUAACAAUGAAAGUAACAAAAUGGAGCAAAACAAAGCCAACAGGUUAGUAUUAGGACAUUUUUCAAAUAGAAAUAUCACAUUGCGUGCAAUGUCCCUAGCAACAAUUAACGGUUUUAGAAUGGCCUCGAGGGUCGCAAGGCCAUUUGGCAUCAUCCCACUUUCAUUGUUCUUUCCCUAUUUCCUUCUUCAUUUUCCUUUCUAACGCCACUUGAUUUUCAUUUCUUUCCCCAUCUUUUCUUUGUGAUUAUCGUUUUUUUCUAUUCUUAUUUCUCAUGUCUUGUAAUUUCAUUUUCGUUUUUUUUUAAAAAAUGAUUCGAUCGAACCCUAUGUAGGUUUCCUAUGUAUCAUGACCCUCAUGAAUCAGAUCAAGCACAGUUUUGGAAAAAAUAAUGGACAAAAUAAACUAAGAAGCAAAAUCUUUUGGGAUUUUUCAUUUAAUACUUUUUUUUGGAUUUCCAAAUACAAAACAAGAGGUACGAUAAUGAGAGAUUCGACAAACUAAACUAUACUACAACAACUCUAACACCAACUAAAUGAUUGAAUACUACUGUACAAGUCAAGUAAGAGAAAACGUGAAAACAUACUCAAAUUAUAAAAGGCUCCUUAAGCAGCUCCUGAAUGCAGUGGUCCUGGGGUAUCCAUUACGCUCGAGCUGUGGUAAAUGAAUUCUUACCUGAAUGAGAAAAAAUAAGACCAAAUAUAUUAGUGAAUCGAAAUAUUAUGAGACACCACAACACCUCUUGUUGGACACAUACGAGACACGAUUGGCCAUUUUAGAAAAUUAGCCUACGUAGCCAAGAGUGACUAAAGUGCAAAAUCAACAAGGGUGACUACUCUGAUAUGAAAAUAUCUUAAUAACGCUUAUACGGAUUCAACUCCCAAUAAUCAUGGUCCAAAAAAUUAAUUUGCAGAAAUUACCCAUUUUGCAAAAACGGUCGAUAUAGCCAAAAGUGGCUAAAGAUGCAAACUCAAAAAGGAUGGACCUUAAAGUAAUAUGACACCUAGUUGGUGAACAUAAGAUCCUAAGAUAUGGGUAAUUGAAUCACUUUUACGAAAAUAACCCCAUUUUGCAAGAAUGGCCGAUGUGGCCAAAACUGGCUAUAUAUGCAAUACUUGGUAAGAUCCCACAAAGCCAAGAACCUAAGAUUCAUUAGGAAGAUCAGAUCCUAUGUGGGUUGCCUACGUAUCUCGCCCCGAGAGACGAGAAUCAGAUUUGCGUAGUUCAGGAAGAUUAAAUAUUGGAUAGAAUUAAAAAUGCAUCUAAUUUGAAAAAAAACUAUAUUUCUGUCUUUUUGAAAAAUGAUAGAAAAUGCAAAUUUUUUUUGGAUUUUAUUUUCUCUUUUUUAUUGAAUCUUUGGAAAAUGAUGAAAAAUGUAAAACAUCUUUGGAUUUUCUUUUUCUCCUUUUUUUUUAAUUUUUUGAAAAAUAAUGGAAAAGUAUAAAAAAUUUCGGAUUUUUUUUUGUCUGUUUCUCUUUUUUUUUUUUGAAAAAGCAGUGAAAGAAAAUAUGAUUGAGCCCUACUUGCUUAAUUUUUCAUCUUUCUUUCCCAAACAUCGGUCGGCCAAAUGACAUGAUGCAAAUAAAAAUGACCUAAAAGCUUAUCUAAGUUUAGGGUUCACUAACAAGGCAAUUCGGGGGAGCGUAUGGUCGAUGGUGGCUGCUCAAGCUUUCCACNNNNNNNNNNNNNNNNNNNNNNNNNNNNNNNNNNNNNNNNNNNNNNNNNNNNNNNNNNNNNNNNNNNNNNNNNNNNNNNNNNNNNNNNNNNNNNNNNNNNNNNNNNNNNNNNNNNNNNNNNNNNNNNNNNNNNNNNNNNNNNNNNNNNNNNNNNNNNNNNNNNNNNNNNNNNNNNNNNNNNNNNNNNNNNNNNNNNNNNNNNNNNNNNNNNNNNNNNNNNNNNNNNNNNNNNNNNNNNNNNNNNNNNNNNNNNNNNNNNNNNNNNNNNNNNNNNNNNNNNNNNNNNNNNNNNNNNNNNNNNNNNNNNNNNNNNNNNNNNNNNNNNNNNNNNNNNNNNNNNNNNNNNNNNNNNNNNNNNNNNNNNNNNNNNNNNNNNNNNNNNNNNNNNNNNNNNNNNNNCCGACGCCCCCCUCCCCCCUAAAUUAAGGGUGACUCAACAAAGAGUUUAUGCACGCGACACAUUCUCCGAGACUUGUUACAGAAAGAAGACUCAUGGUUAUGCAAAUAAUGAUCGUUUAUAAAGCAAUAACACAUAAAGGAAAAAAUGUAAACAAAUAAGCAACUAACAAAUAAUAAAAAGAUAGUAACAAAAAUAAAAAUCAAAUAAAGCAAAUAAAAUACAUAACAACCUCAAUCUAAUAUCCAAAAAGCCAACAAGAUCAAGUACUAGCUCGAACCUGCAACUCCCCAGCAGAGUCUCUAGAGAUGUCACACCUCUUUUUUUAACAGAACUCCACUUAACCCUCUUAAAUAAAUAAUUUUUUUUAGUAAAGCUUGAAAGGUAUUUCAAUUUAGAAAGUGACAAAAUUGUAUUCAAAAGAAAAUUACUCAGAGUUGCCACCUGACAUUUAAUUUUGGUAUGUCAGGUCAUUGUUUUGCUAAAAAUGAUUUUUUUCUUUCAAAACACUUGAGAUUCCAAAACUAAGUCUACACCAAAAAGUCGGGUAAGGGGUUAAUUUGACUCGGGAAGAAGGUAUUAGGCAAUACCCAAGUCCCGCAACUAGUGCGGUUGCGUACUCAAUCAAGUUGGCUUUUAGAAUAUUCAAUUAAGGUAGAAAACACAGAAAAAGCAAAAUAAACACAUACGAAGCUCGAGGUCGUCCCCACCUAGUAAAAGAAAAAAAAAAUCAUAAGCUAACCCACACUAAGUCUUCUCCACCAUGCUCGUCAAGGCCUCCAAAAUAUUUACAUAGUUCUUCGGGGCAUACCCCAGAUAAUAAUAUAUAAAAAUUCUUCGGGGCAUUCCCCGGAUAAUUUCAACUACGGAAAGAACCUCUCGUCUGAAGAGUAACAAAAUCCUAAAUCUUACCUACCCACGUGUGAUCGGCCUAAACACGCUAUCAGGCAAAAUAGUUAGCAAGAUAAACUCAACUUUCAUUAUCAAUGUCCAACCCCCAUAUUCAAAGCGACGAAGAAUCUAGUCAAUCUACUUAGAUGUGCUAAAUUAAUGCCUAUCAGUAAAUCAAUGAAACAAGGGGUCAAAAAUAAUUGUUGAAGAUCAAGACCCAUCCGAAGCAUAUUUAAACUAAACAACAACUAAACAUAGUACAAAACAGAAACCAUUAACAUAAGCAAAUAUUACCCAAGACAUUUCAAAAGCAGAAGAAAGCAAAAACAUUAACAUAACUCGUAUGAUCAACCAAACCAGAGCAAAGACUGAAAGCGAGAGAAAAAUAAAGGAAAGGGAGAUAUAAACCUCAAAUAAAUCUGAAAUUCAUAUGUGAGGCAGCGUUGAACUCAAAAAAGGCGACGAACCAUAGAUGAACCUCGAAUCAACCUCGGCUUAAACUCCAUUUUUAACUUUUGUCUAUGUUUUCUCCGUGUUAUCUACUGUGUGUGCAUGAGUGAUGAGGAUCGACUAGUUUUUCGCGUGGAGGUGGCAGGGGUCGCUGGUUGGGCUGGAGUUGGCGGCAGAAUUGUUGAUUUUCGAAGUGAGGUCGGGGUGGGAUUACUUGGUCGUUCAGAAGCAGGGGUGGUGAGAUUCUUUCAUGACUGUUGGCUAUCAAGGCAACGACUGGCGGCUGGUAUACUGAUAGGUGGUGAGAUAUUCGGCGAGUUUGGUUGUCGAAGAAGCAGUAGAUGGCUGGUUCCGGCAAGCUGGUAUGGUCAGAGGAGGAUAUGAUGCUGCUAAUGGCGUUUUGUGGUUGAAAAAGGUGGGCUGUUUGGCGUGAAGUUCAGGUGAUGUAGUCCUCCAUUGAAGAAGAUGAGGUUCAGGAAAGGUUCUCUUUUACGUUGUCUCAUGAGGAGGAAGAUGAUGGCUUGGGGUAUAUGGCUGGUCUCUAUAGGUCUUAUGUUCGAAUGAAGAAGAAGAGAAACAGCUGGGGCUGGAGUUGAGCAACAAUGAGGCCGACAGAGGCGGCGGCGGGCGGCUUUGUGUUUUGGUUCCUAUGGAGUGACAGCUGAUGGUGUUUUAUUGUGUAUUAUAGUUUGUAUGGUUGUCAAGAUUGAGGUUGUGGAGGAGGUCUGAAAAAUGGUUGCCAUGGAUGUGUUUUGGAGAAGAAGAUGAAGCUAAGAUUCUUAGAUCGUGUAGUUCAAGAUGCACCUUAGCUCUCUUUUUAAAAAAAAGAAUAGCCGCUCUUGUAUGUUAUAAUUCUAGGGUUUUUCUUGUGUGUUUUAUGAUUGAGAAGAAGAUAGGUUAAGGGUGCUGAUAGGUUACACGGGUUUGGCUUAAGAAGUUGGCGUGUUAAAUUUUGGGCCUUUAUUUG
rnacentral:lncRNA from 1 species